rfam:Chlamydotis undulata macqueenii contig66997, whole genome shotgun sequence.
GUAGGAUACGGUGACAUUUAUCCUAAGACGUUAUUAGGUAAAAUAGUUGGAGGACUUUGCUGUAUCGCUGGAGUGUUGGUCAUAGCCCUGCCCAUACCAAUUAUUGUGAACAAU